rnacentral:rRNA from 1 species
UAGUCCACGCCGUAAACGAUGAGUGCUAGCUGUCGGGACAUUAGUCUCGGUGGCGCAGCUAACGCAGUAAGCACUCCGCCUGGGAAGUACGGUCGCAAGAUUAAAACUCAAAGGAAUUGACGGGGACCCGCACAAGCGGUGGAGCAUGUGGUUUAAUUCGAGGCAACGCGAAGAACCUUACCAGGACUUGACAUCCUUAUCGCGCGCACCAGAGAUGGAGCGUUUCAGUUCGGCUGGAUAAGUGACAGGUGCUGCACGGCUGUCGUCAGCUCGUGUCGUGAGAUGAUGGGUUAAGUCCCGCAACGAACGCAACCCCUAUUAACUGUUGCCAGCAUUUCAGAUGGGGACUCAGUUAAGACUGCCUACGCAAGUAGAGAGGAAGGAGGGGACGACGUCAGGUCAUCAUGGCCCUUACGCCUAGGGCGACACACGUGCUACAAUGGUAGAUACAGAGUGUAGCGAGCUAGCAAUAGUAAGCCAAUCAC